rnacentral:sRNA from 1 species
AGCAGUAUCGGGUCGACCGCGCGGGUCACCCCCAGAUAGUCGCGCAUGACGAUGGCGUGCCGGUUCUC